GUCCCAAUAGCUAAGUGGUUAUAGCAUGCGAUUGCAGAUCGCGGGGUCGGGUGUUCGAAUCACCCUUGGGACU
rnacentral:tRNA from 2 species